AGCCGGCUGGCUCAGUUGGUAGAACACGAGACUCUUAAUCUCAGGGUCGUGGGUUCGACUCCCAUGUUGGGCA